AAAUAUUCCGCAGCCUGUGGGAAGUGACGGAUCACGUAACUUGUUCGACCUUACUGGAUUGGUCGGGCCGGGAAGUGGUCCCAGGAAAUAGCUCCCACGUAUAGGCCGUACCCCAAACCGACACAGGUGGACUGGCAGAGUAUGCUAAGGCGCUUGAGAGAACUGUAUUGAAGGAACUAGGCAAAUUGCCCUCGUAACUUCGGAAGAAGAGGGCCCGAUUCUUACGCAAGUAGGAGUCGGGGGCACAUAGCAGGGGGUGGCGACUGUUUACUAAAAACACAGGGCGCUGCGAAAUCCAAAGAUGACGUAUAGCGUCUGACGCCUGCCCGGUGCUGGAAGGUUAAGAGGAGAUGUGAAAGCGUUGAAUCGAAGCCCCAGUAAACGGCGGCCGUAACAAUAACGGUCCUAAGGUAGCGAAAUUCCUUGUCGGGUAAGUUCCGACCUGCACGAAAGGCGUAACGACUUCCCCACUGUCUCCAAUACAGGCUCAGCGAAAUUGAAUUCCCCGUGAAGAUGCGGGGUUCCCGCGGUCAGACGGAAAGACCCCGUGCACCUUUACUGCAACUUUACACUGGCAUUAGGAAUGGGAUGUGUAGGAUAGGUGGUAGGCUUUGAAGCGGAGGCGCUAGCUUUCGUGGAGCCGUCCUUGAAAUACCACCCUUCUUGUUCCUGAUGUCUAACCGCGAUCCUGAAACGGGAUCCGAGACAGUGUAUGGUGGGCAGUUUGACUGGGGCGGUCGCCUCCCAAAGAGUAACGGAGGCGCGCGAUGGUAGGCUCAAUCCGGUCGGAAAACGGAUGUUGAGUGCAAUGGCAAAAGCCUGCCUGACUGCAAGGUCGACGGACCAAGCAGAGACGAAAGUCGGUCAUAGUGAUCCGGUGAUCCCGCGUGGAAGGGUCAUCGCUCAACGGAUAAAAGGUACGCCGGGGAUAACAGGCUGAUCGCACCCAAGCGUCCAUAGCGACGGUGCGGUUUGGCACCUCGAUGUCGGCUCAUCACAUCCUGGGGCUGUAGCCGGUCCCAAGGGUAUGGCUGUUCGCCAUUUAAAGUGGUACGUGAGCUGGGUUUAGAACGUCGUGAGACAGUUCGGUCCCUAUCCGCCGUGGGUGUUCGAAACUUGAGAGGACUUGUUCCUAGUACGAGAGGACCGGAACGAACGUAUCUCUGGUGGAUCGGUUGUCACGCCAGUGGCAUAGCCGAGUAGCUAAAUACGGACGAGAUAACCGCUGAAAGCAUCUAAGCGGGAAACUCACCUCAAAACCAGGUUUCGCUUGAGAGCCGGGGAAGACUACCCCGUCGAUAGGCCAGAUGUGUAAGUACAGCAAUGUAUUGAGCUGACUGGUACUAAUCGCUCGAAAAG
rnacentral:rRNA from 1 species